rnacentral:misc_RNA from 1 species
GAUGAAGAACGUAGUGAAAUGCGAUAAGUAGUGUGAAUUGCAGAAUUCAGUGAAUCAUCGAAUCUUUGAACGCACAUUGCGGCCAUAGGUAUUCCUUUGGCCAUGCCUGUUCGAGCGUCAUUUACACCCUCAAGCCUAGCUUGGUGUUGGGCGUCUGUCCCGCCGUUUUCGCGCGCGGACUCGCCUCAAAAUCAUUGGCGGCGGUCGUGCCGGCCCCCUCGCGCAGCACAUUUGCGCUUCUCGGAGGCCCGGCGGAUCCGCGCUCCAGCAAGACCUUUCACGACUUGACCUCGGAUCAGGUAGGGAUACCCGCUGAACUUAAGCAUAUCAAUAAGCGGAGGA